rnacentral:lncRNA from 1 species
AACAUCUCUAAGAUGUCAUGUUCUCAAUUCGGCUAUACCGGUAACCCAACUACCACCCAGGUAAGUCCAUUGCUUUAAGUUGCGCUGUCUGUGCCACCCGCGGGGGGUUCCUUCUCUGGGAGGUGUUCCGUUCGACACCCACCGGUCCCCAGGCUGCGGUUCGGCGGGUGGCCGGAGUCCUCACUUUCAAACCAUUUUGCGGUAUGGGCCCUCCUCUGCCGACUCCGCCAGAUUGCGUUUGUUACGCCAAACAUUCGCCUUUGGUGUAGACGAUUUCUAACGUUGCGCGCAUUAUACUUGCUUUGUGUUAUGCUUUUUUCCCCCGAAACUUGCGGUGUGUCUCUAAUUCCGCACCCCGCUUGGCUCUGUUAAUUUGUCGCAGUCUGUAUACUCGCUAUUCCAUAGAUCGAUAGUAGUUGUAUGGCACAUCGUAUUUUUGCUCGUUAUACGUAAUUGCUGACCAUCACGUAACGUCACACGCUCCGACGCUAGGCCGAGAACGGGUUUUUAACACGUCGACACCAUCCGAACUGGCAGCCUGCUGGGGCCGAGUGCCGUUUGUCACCUCUAGCCUGUGGUCCACCCCAAAUGCCAGGAAGCAACAACAACAACCGCGCGGGCGGCCGUUCGUCUGUCCCACUUUGAUCUCCAUUAGGCCUAAGCAUACUUAACCUAAACGAAAAGUGAUAUAAAUUGGCUUAAACUUUUUGGAUUUUUUUUCUAUUCUUUUCAUACCAAGUAGAGUAGAAGGGUAGAAAGUGACAUUCACUUAAAUCCAACACAAGUGUCUAACACAAGUUGCAUUGAAGUGUUUUAGAAUACAAAUCGUUACUCAACUUCAAUACUUUCAUAUUAUCCAAAACUAUCUUUUUUAUGAAAUAUUGAAUAUUUUCCAGAAUUUUAUCAGAGUUACGCGACUCAGGCCUUCAGUUAUGGAACCAAUUUUAAAAAUAUAAAAUUUGAUUGUUUUUAUUUUAGCUUGUACACUUGUAACAAUUUUACACAGACUGUUUUGAUUGAUUCUUCUAUGAAGUUCGAUACCAUCAAAUAUUUAAAAAUCAUUUAUAAACGUUGCCUUUCUUUUUUAUUAACUUGUUUGCUCUUAUGUUUAUCAUAUACUGCUUUAAUAAUUAGACUAGUAAUAGUAUGAACAUUUACAGUUAUAGGUAAAUUUACAGUUAUUUACAUUUACAGUUAUAGGUAGGGUAUUCAAGGAAAAUUGUUAUUCGAAUUUAUUAUAAGAUUCAUUUAGUUCACUUAUGUCCGAAGCACUUAAGGUCUCUGUAUAAAGUGGCAUAGUCUUGGAGAUCCAGAAGGGUAGCAAAGUGCAUUUGCCCAACAAACAGGAUUAUAAAACGGGAAACUUUUUAACAUAACUUUAGAGAGGAAGAGGAGUAAGUUGAUAACAAACUGACUUUGGAUAAGACUCUGGUCUGAAUUGACAUCUGUCACCAUUGGACUUUCACAAAUCUAAGAAAUCCUUCAACUGAUUCCGACAAACACGCAGAUGCCCGCCUCGGGGUUCGCACUACAGUUGAGAAAAAAAAGUGGUCCGCAGGCAGAGUAUGGCCCAUUUGCUGCCUACAAGCAGAUGUAUUGGAUUAGCCAGGCUCUCUUAAGUUGACAAACUCUAGCAAUAGGAGGCCUGACCACUGCUGCCCUCUAUCGCCGAUAUUUCUUGGUCCUUCCAACCGCCUAUUGUGCCCGACUCUCUCUGUUGUGUGUGACGAAUGGAAUUCAAAAUCGGGUUUAGUCCGAUUUAUCAUAAACUACCGUGGAUCUCUUUAAAGAAGAGAAGGAUGAAAAAGAUCCGUUCCCAAAAAAGAAGUGGAGGGGUAGACAAACCAAAUCUCCUCCUUUCAAAUCCGGGAAAACGCUUCCGACCUGUAAAUUCAAGUUUUCACACAAUAAAAAUACAUAAGGCUGAAGUGCUACCUGCAUGAACGUAACAGGCGCAGAAGCCAAACUGCGGGCGAUGCCGUCCUUUGCAAAAUGUAUGUAAGUGGGACGAAAUAAAAAUUAAAACACUAUUAUGAAGCGAGCCCACACAAGUCUGGCCCUUGACCCCGCAACAGAAAUAUACUUAAUCUUCCAGAGUUUCUUUAGUAUCCGAGGCCCUUUUAGCUGGAAGAAUAGGACACGCUUUCUACCACAAAAUACGAGGUGUUACGCUCGUUUCGGGGGCCUUAAUGAGUCGGAAAGCGGAUUGAGUCGUUUCCCAAGGGAUAACUAGUUUUAAGAGCGUGGAAAUUAGAAGAAUUCUUUAAUCCUCUACUAAUAGCUGCGGUUCCGCAGCUGCUCUAGCAUUGGUGGAGAGCAUUAACAUUUUAUAGAGUAACUAAUUGACUUAAAAUACAUGGUGGCUCCUUGGCUUCUCCCUUUUAUAGUAAUUCCAACGAAGAACUCUGCUAACAUUUUCCGUCGCGUACUCGGGCCUAAAGCGAAUAUAUUUUAAAAAAUCAAUUUUGAUGCGUUGCUGCCUUUCGAAACUUGGAAUCACUGAAGUUACGGUUGCUAACCAAAAAGAGAACAGUAAACGAGGCCCCUGUCAAUAGAGGUGGCUUCAGUUCGCGCUUCUGUUAGUUUAAGUAAGUUUAUACUGUCUGAAAGGUCGCUUCGCCCAGUUUAAGAUCUGCUUCUAAACCGGGCCUGGAGGCCUUUCUUUACCUCCUAUUUGUGUAACAUAUGCUUUUUCAUUUCAGCUGCUCAUGGCUGGCCAGACGACGGGCCAGCAACUGCACGGGACAUCGAGUACAGCCGGU